rnacentral:rRNA from 1 species
AGGUGAACCUGCGGAAGGAUCAUUACAGUAGUCGCCCGGGUUGCCGCAAGGCCUCCCGGGUAACCUACCACCCUUUGUUUAUUACACUUUGUUGCUUUGGCAAGCCUGCCCUCGGGCUGCUGGCUCCGGCCGGCGAGCGCUUGCCAGAGGACCUAAACUCUGUUUGUCUAUACUGUCUGAGUACUAUAUAAUAGUUAAAACUUUCAACAACGGAUCUCUUGGUUCUGGCAUCGAUGAAGAACGCAGCGAAAUGCGAUAAGUAAUGUGAAUUGCAGAAUUCAGUGAAUCAUCGAAUCUUUGAACGCACAUUGCGCCCCCUGGUAUUCCGGGGGGCAUGCCUGUCCGAGCGUCAUUACAACCCUCAAGCUCAGCUUGGUGUUGGGCCCCGCCGCCCCGGCGGGCCCUAAAGUCAGUGGCGGUGCCGUCCGGCUCCGAGCGUAGUAAUUCUUCUCGCUCUGGAGGUCCGGUCGUGUGCUCGCCAGCAACCCCCAAUUUUUUUCAGGUUGACCUCGGAUCAGGUAGGGAUACCCGCUGAACUUAAGCAUAUCAAUAAGCG